rnacentral:rRNA from 1 species
UAGCGAAGGGGGCUAGCGUUGUUCGGAAUACUGGGCGUAAAGCGCACGUAGGCGGAUUGUUAAGUUAGGGGUGAAAUCCCAGGGCUCAACCCUGGAACUGCCUUUAAUACUGGCAAUCUCGAGUCCGAGAGAGGUGAGUGGAAUUCCGAGUGUAGAGGUGAAAUUCGUAGAUAUUCGGAGGAACACCAGUGGCGAAGGCGGCUGACUGGACAUGUAUUGACGCUGAGGUGCGAAAGCGUGGGGAGCAAACAGG